UAGUCGGAGGUGUGUCUCGGACGGUCGGUUCGCCGCUUGUCGGUGCUCAACUGGCCGGUCCGGACGUCCUGCCGGUGGGGCCGCAAGGCCCCGUCAUCCUUCUUUGGUCCUCUUCACCGAGUGCCUUGGUGGGCCGGCACGUUUACUUUGAACAAAUUAGAGUGCUCAAAGCAGGCCGUUGGUCGCCUGAAUACUGUGUGCAUGGAAUAAUGGAAUAGGACCUCGGUUCCAUUUUGUUGGUUUUCAGAACUCGAGGUAAUGAUUAAUAGGGACGGACGGGGGCAUUCGUAUUGCGACGUUAGAGGUGAAAUUCUUGGAUCGUCGCAAGACGAACCGAUGCGAAAGCAUUUGCCAAGAACGUUUUCGUUGAUCAAGAACGAAAGUUAGAGGUUCGAAGGCGAUCAGAUACCGCCCUAGUUCUAACCAUAAACGAUGCCAGCUAGCCAUCCGCCGAAGUUCCUUCUAUGACUCGGCGGGCAGCUUCCGGGAAACCAAAGCUCUUGGGUUCCGGGGGAAGUAU
rnacentral:rRNA from 1 species